AUGAACAAUUUGUACAUAAGAAGCUUUUGUACACACCAGAGAGAUAGAUCAAUGUCUCUUGAUCAUGUUUUCAUACAUUAUAUGAUGAGCCAGGAGUUGUACCGAUUAUUCGUCGCCUACCCAGCUUAUUUCCAAAUCCAAGGCCGAACCAUCUGCGAGUCACAUCGCGGAGCAAAGUGUCAUUCACCUCGCAGAACCUGUGCGGCCAACCAGCCGGCUCGACUGCCUCAAACCCUAAACCCGGGGUCCGGUCAUUGGAACGGAGGUUCUUCUUGUCGGUCCAAUCGACGGUGUAUGUCGAAGCUCGGCGGCGGAAUUUCACCUUGA
rnacentral:rRNA from 1 species